rnacentral:lncRNA from 1 species
CAGCAAGUGAUGCACAAACUGCUCACUUAUAUCAGAACACAGACAGGAAAGAUUUAUCAUAGACGGUCUGAGAUGAAAGAAAAGGUUUUCACACAAAGAACAAAUCAGUCAGUAAUAAAUUUGCUUUUUUUUUUUCUUUUUUUACACCUUGAGUUAUUUUAAACAAAAGAUCUAAAUAUUCCAGUUGAGGAGUCUGAUUUCUGAAGGACUGAAUCAAAUAACCCUCUGGAAGAAGUGACUUCUGGCUAGCACUCUGUCUAAUUCAUUCUAUCAGUGCAUGCUUUAAUGCUCUGUAUAGGAAACUGACUUAGUCCAAAACUGGUCCUCUCUGCUCUAUAAAUUGAAUCCACUGAUGCAUAAUUGAGCCCUUGACUGUAUCACAUACCUGCUUCACCAGAUUCUCUUUUUGCUUACUUGCUAUAUUUACUGGGUGAAAAACGUUUGGCUUUUUUUCCCCUCCAUAAUUAGAUAUGGAAUGAAAAAUUGUGUGGCCUAAAACUAUGAGGCACUGAGCACCUCUGGACCCCUGCUGAAGUUGAUAACAUUUGAUGCAUGUCAAGCAGCACCUCUGAUAAAUACUUCUCCUACUACUUCUUCAUUUCUCUCAAUAUGUCUUAAACAAGAUUUGCUGGAAGAAAAAAAAAUAUGCGUGCAUGUUGAAACAGUAAUUGCUUCUGGUUCUGGAAGGACAAAAACCAGGCUCACCUCAUAUCAUCCUAUAAUUCUGUUUAUUGGGAUCCUUACUGGCCUGCUCUCAGGGAAGCAGUCUAGUAGGGGCUGGAGCUUUUUAGGCAAGUCCAUUCAGCAUUCUGAUCUGUCAAUGGAUUUUGCACCAUCCGGAGUACUCACCGUGUCACACACCAUAGAUAUUUAAUCUGUAAAUUGAGAACUCAUCUUUAAUUGAUGAAUAAAUGUCUCACAGGGAGGUUGAUUUCCUUUUUUCCUCUGUAUUAACAGCAUAUCUUUUUUUUUAAUCAUUAAAAGAGAAGCAAAACCUCUGCACUGGAAAGAAGAAGUCAUGACAGACAAAAUUCAGUGAGUAGGAAAAGUUUAAUGUACAAUAACUCACAGCUAAACUCUUCUGGAAGAGCUAUGCCUGUAUCAAGCUCCACAUUUCACAUAACGAAGUUUGCCACUAGGAAGUCUCCCCUAUCAAGUUUUAAAUCAUAAAUGAAUAAUCCAUGCUUUUGUAUUGUUUUUGUUGUUGUUGUUGUUAUUAAAA